AUUGAACGCUGGCGGCAGGCCUAACACAUGCAAGUCGAACGGUAGCACAGAGAGCUUGCUCUCGGGUGACGAGUGGCGGACGGGUGAGUAAUGUCUGGGAAACUGCCCGAUGGAGGGGGAUAACUACUGGAAACGGUAGCUAAUACCGCAUAACGUCGCAAGACCAAAGUGGGGGACCUUCGGGCCUCACACCAUCGGAUGUGCCCAGAUGGGAUUAGCUAGUAGGUGGGGUAAUGGCUCACCUAGGCGACGAUCCCUAGCUGGUCUGAGAGGAUGGCCAGCCACACUGUACCUGAGACACGGUCCAGACUCCUACGGGAGGCGGCAGUGGGGAAUAUUGCACAAUGGGCGCAAGCCUGAUGCAGCCAUGCCGCGUGUAUGUAGAAGGCCUUCGGGUUGUAAAGUACUUUCAGCGGGGAGGAAGGCGGUGAAGUUAAUAGCUUCACCGAUUGACGUUACCCGCAGAAGAAGCACCGGCUAACUCCGUGCCAGCCGCCGCCGUAA
rnacentral:rRNA from 1 species